rnacentral:rRNA from 1 species
CGGCGGACGGGUGAGUAACGCGUGGGUAACCUGCCUCAUACAGGGGGAUAACAGUUAGAAAUGACUGCUAAUACCGCAUAAGACCACGGUACCGCAUGGUACAGUGGUAAAAACUCCGGUGGUAUGAGAUGGACCCGCGUCUGAUUAGGUAGUUGGUGGGGUAACGGCCUACCAAGCCACGAUCAGUAGCCGACCUGAGAGGGUGACCGGCCACAUUGGGACUGAGACACGGCCCAG